rnacentral:lncRNA from 1 species
GGGUAUGAGAGUCAUUUGUGGCAUAACUUCAACAGACAUGACAGGGCUGACUUUGAGUUGAAUUAUAAAAUUUCCAAAUGAGGAUGUCCAGGAACCAGAUAGACACGUGAGUUAGAAGCUCAGAAAGCAGGUCACCAUCACCUCUUAUCUGAUCAUUGCAACACUUGCUUACUUGUCCUCCUAUCACCAGAUCUGGCUCCUGACAAUUCACCUUGCGUAAAUAAUUUACAUUUCUAGAGAACAAGCUCUUUAUGGUACAUAGAAAUAAUCCUGUCAUACAGUGACCAUUCGGAGAGGGAUAAAAACCUUAUAUAUGAAACUUUCACUAAUAACCUGAAACAUCACCACAGAGACAGUUGGGUUAUCCUGUUUGUUUGGACAUCCACUUAUUCACUUGAAAUGCAGGAAAUCUAUUUGAAAAAAACAAAACAAAACAUGAUCAGUUACUUGAUACAAUCAUGAGAUGUGAUCGAGAAAAACUUAUUAAGGAAUUAUUUUGUCAGAGUCAGUCUCUCUCAACAAGGUAAGCUACUUUUUCAAUGUUUCUGAUUAGAGUAGAUCCUUGAUGUUUAUUAUCAGUGUCAUCAUCAUUAAUGAAAAUAGUACGAGAAUAUACAAAGAUGCAUAAGUGAGUAAUGGUGUAACAUUCUAACAUUUCUAAGAUGUGAAUUUGGAUCUUGCCAUGCAAGAUCGAAGAAAAAGAAGAGAAUGUUUUCUGAAAAAUGAAAUUUUGGAUAAAUUUGAAGGGGCGUUAGACUGUGGCAAAGGAAAUGCAUGACAAAUCUUGGGAAUAGAAUAAGGGAAGAAACUUGGUGAGAGCUAUUUUGAUUUACAGGCCAGUUGUUGACAUUGUAGUAUCCUCUCUUUGAACACUGGAAUUGAGCAACUUCAAAGAGUCAUUGGACCAAGGUCUUCAUGCUUCAAAUAAACCUGCAUCAAAGAAACCUGGCUAGAAGACAAAGAUCAUGCUUUAUUCCCCCACAAAAGGAUUAUGUUUAGAUUUAAUGUUGAUGCCUCAGUUAAGUGCUCACUUUGAAAAUCAAUACAACAUUGUGUGCUUGGUUGGCUCAAUACCUCUCAGUCAAUAUUAAUAAAAAAACAGCAACAA